GGCGGGCCUCCCCGCAUUGCAGCCCGGUCAAUCUGGUCAGGUCCGGAAGGAAGCAGCCACAGCUGGUUUCUGCAAGUGCCGGGGGCAAGGCUCGCCACC
rnacentral:SRP_RNA from 2 species